rnacentral:rRNA from 1 species
CGUAACAAGGUCUCCGUAGGUGAACCUGCGGAGGGAUCAUUACACAAAUAUGAAGGCGGGCUGGAACCUCUCGGGGUUACAGCCUUGCUGAAUUAUUCACCCUUGUCUUUUGCGUACUUCUUGUUUCCUUGGUGGGUUCGCCCACCACUAGGACAAACAUAAACCUUUUGUAAUUGCAAUCAGCGUCAGUAACAAAUUAAUAAUUACAACUUUCAACAACGGAUCUCUUGGUUCUGGCAUCGAUGAAGAACGCAGCGAAAUGCGAUAAGUAGUGUGAAUUGCAGAAUUCAGUGAAUCAUCGAAUCUUUGAACGCACAUUGCGCCCUUUGGUAUUCCAAAGGGCAUGCCUGCUCGAGCGUCAUUUGUACCCUCAAGCUUUGCUUGGUGUUGGGCGUCUUGUCUCUAGCUUUGCUGGAGACUCGCCUUAAAGUAAUUGGCAGCCGGCCUACUGGUUUCGGAGCGCAGCACAAGUCGCACUCUCUAUCAGCAAAGGUCUAGCAUCCAUUAAGCCUUUUUUUCAACUUUUGACCUCGGAUCAGGUAGGGAUACCCGCUGAACUUAAGCAUAUCA